UACGUAGGUCCCGAGCGUUGUCCGGAUUUAUUGGGCGUAAAGCGAGCGCAGGUGGUUUAUUAAGUCUGGUGUAAAAGGCAGUGGCUCAACCAUUGUAUGAAUUGGAAACUGGUAGACUUGAGUGCAGGAGAGGAGAGUGGAAUUCCAUGUGUAGCGGUGAAAUGCGUAGAUAUAUGGAGGAACACCGGUGGCGAAAGCGGCUCUCUGGCCUGUAACUGACACUGAGGCUCGAAAGCGUGGGGAGCAAACAGG
rnacentral:rRNA from 1 species